CCGCCUCCAGACUCACUCUGAGUCUAUUCGUUCCCAAAAGGCCAAAAGCCAAAUCUUCAAUUGAGAUUUGAGGGUUUGAACCCGUCAAUUUGAGAUCAAGCCACUCGCUGGGUGGUCAAGGAGUAUAGUUGAUGACAUCGCUGACGGUGGUGGCGGGCGAGACUGAUUGGGAUUUUGAUAAGGGCUUGGGUCUGAUUCCACCGUCCCUUGAGGCUUCUUUAGGGUGUGCUUUUGUCGAUGCAAUGGUAGAAGAAGUAAAUGAAGGGUGAGAAGAUGCGAAAUCAUUCGGAGUUUUUGAUCUUGAUUAGGCACGACAGUCUACUUUCAAGAAAGCUGCUUCGAUCCUUCUUCGCCAUCAACCACCAUCCAUGUAAUCCAGCAAUCUACUUCACUUAUGAUCAACAUCACUACAUCAGCUCUGUCUCCAAUCCCUUCACAUCAUCCUCUUUCAGAUAUAUCGAGUACAGGUAGGCAUGUUAGCUGGGGGUUCAAGCAUGCUAGUUUCAGCGGUGUCUCCAUUCUUCACUAUGAAUGCAGCUCCCAUACCUAACGUCAAGUGUCUCUCCAUAUGACAAUGCCAAAACCAAACACCUGAG